rnacentral:rRNA from 1 species
AGUAGUUUGAUCAUGGCUCAGAACGACGCUGGCGGCAUGCCUAACACAUGCAAGUCGAACGAGACCUUCGGGUCUAGUGGCGCACGGGUGCGUAACGCGUGGGAACCUGCCUUUAGGUUCGGAAUAACUCAGAGAAAUUUGAGCUAAUACCGGAUAAUGUCUUCGGACCAAAGAUUUAUCGCCUUUAGAUGGGCCCGCGUUGGAUUAGCUAGUUGGUGGGGUAAAGGCCUACCAAGGCGACGAUCCAUAGCUGGUCUGAGAGGAUGAUCAGCCACACUGGGACUGAGACACGGCCCAGACUCCUACGGGAGGCAGCAGUGGGGAAUAUUGGACAAUGGGCGAAAGCCUGAUCCAGCAAUGCCGCGUGAGUGAUGAAGGCCUUAGGGUUGUAAAGCUCUUUUACCCGAGAUGAUAAUGACAGUAUCGGGAGAAUAAGCUCCGGCUAACUCCGUG